rnacentral:rRNA from 1 species
GACGAACGCUGGCGGCGUGCUUAACACAUGCAAGUCGAACGGAGUGGCGAACGGGUGAGUAACACGUGGGUGACCUGCCCUGCACUUCGGGAUAAGCCUGGGAAACUGGGUCUAAUACCGGAUAGUGUGGGAUGGGCCCGCGGCCUAUCAGCUUGUUGGUGGGGUAAUGGCCUACCAAGGCGGCGACGGGUAGCCGGCCUGAGAGGGUGGACGGCCACAGUGGGAAUGAGACACGGGCCAGACUGCGACGGGAGGCAGCAGUGGGGAAUAAUGAGGAAUGGGCGGAAGCGUGAUGCAGGGACGGCGAGUGGGGGAUGACGGCCUUCGGGUUGUAAACUACUUGCAACAUAGACGCGGUAGAUGGAGAAGAAGCACCGGCUAACUACGUGCCAGCAGCCGCGGUAAUUC